UACGUAGGGUGCGAGCGUUGUCCGGAAUUAUUGGGCGUAAAGAGCUUGUAGGCGGUUUGUCGCGUCUGCUGUGAAAUUUCGGGGCUCAACCCCGAACUUGCAGUGGGUACGGGCAGACUAGAGUGUGGUAGGGGAGACUGGAAUUCCUGGUGUAGCGGUGGAAUGCGUAGAUAUCGGGAGGAACACCGAUGGCGAAGGCAGGUCUCUGGGCCGAUACUGACGCUGAGGAGCGAAAGCGUGGGGAGC
rnacentral:rRNA from 1 species